CGCACGGGUGAGUAACACGUAAGUUAUCUGCCCUUGGGUCUGGCACAACUCCGGGAAACCGGGGCUAAUUCCAGAUGAUAUCGAAAGAUCAAAGUUCCGACGCCCAAGGAUGAGCUUGCGUCUGAUUAGCUUGUUGGCGGGGUAAAAGCCCACCAAGGCGACGAUCAGUAGCCGGUCUGAGAGGAUGAUCGGCCACAUUGGGACUGAGACACGGCCCAG
rnacentral:rRNA from 1 species